rnacentral:rRNA from 1 species
GUAGGUGGCAAGCGUUGUCCGGAAUUAUUGGGGCGUAAAGCGCGCGCAGGUGGUUCUUUAAGUCUGAUGUGAAAGCCCUCGGGCUCAACCGGGGAGGGUCAUUGGAAACUGGGGAACUUGAGUGCAGGAGAGGAAAGUGGAAUUCCACGUGUAGCGGUGAAAUGCGUAGAUAUGUGGAGGAACACCAGUGGCGAAGGCGACUUUCUGGCCCGUAACUGACACUGAGGCGCGAAAGCGUGGGGAGCAAACAGGAUUAGAUACCAUGGUAGUCCACGCCGUAAACGAUGAGUGCUAAGUGUUGGGGGGUUUCCGCCCCUCAGUGCUGCAGCUAACGCAUUAAGCACUCCGCCUGGGGAGUACGGUCGCAAAGACUG